rnacentral:lncRNA from 1 species
AUACACACUCACAUUUUUGUACAGCUGAACGACUUGGCCUCGCACGGAUGUCAUGGUGAUUCUGCAUGAGAAAGCGACGCGGCUCGCUGGCAAGCGCGCUUGCGGCACCGGCGACGAGGAGAUCGCGGGAUCAUCGACAGUGUGCAGUUGCGAGCGAUGUCCGCACACACACGACGCAG